GGAAGGGGGCUGGACAUGAAGUGCAUAGCCCCAUUCCUCUCUGGACCUCAGGGUCAUUUCUACUAAGAAUCUUGAUCUUAAGCCAGGCAAUGGUGAUCAUACCUUUAAUCUUAGUACUCGAGAGGCAGAGGUAGGCAGAUCUCUGAGUUCCAGGCCAGCCUGGUCUACAGAGUGAGUUCCAGGACAGCCAGGGGCUACACACAGAAACCCUGUCUCAGAAAACAAAACAAAAAAAAAACCACCUUGCUCUUCGUUUCCAGGAAGGGUCUUUACCAGAGCCAGGUGUGGUGGCACAGGCCUAUAAUCCCAACACCUGGGGUGCUGAGGCAGAGGGGUGCCACAAAUUCAGUACCAGCUGCCUGGGUUACAGUGAGACUAAAUGGCAGAGGGUACUGACAAGAUAGCUCAGUGGUAAAGGCGCUUGCUUGUCUUCCCAGCCUGGAGCCCUCAUGAGGGCAGGAGAGCCAGCGCCACAGCUGUCCUCUGACUGCCUCCAAGUAAGUAAAGUGCUCUACAGCCUCAACCUGAGUUUGGAUUCCCCAGAACCCAAGUAACAAGCCAAGCACAGGGACAGAUGUCUGUGGUCCUAGCACUGGCAGGUCAGAGACAGGAUCCCUGGGGCUCGCUGGACCAGCAGGUCUAUCCCAUCAGCAAGCCUACCAGCUCAGCCACAGACACGUGUUCAGAAGGCAGGAGAGAUGAGAUUGCUCAGCAGUUGGGCUUGACUGCUCUUACAGAGGAGCUUAGGUUCAUAGCACUCCUGUAGGGCAGCCGACAAGAGUCUGCAGUUUCAAGUGUCCCAGUGCCUCCAGAAUUCUGCAGGCACCCACACAUGGAAUAUACUCAGACACAGGUUUUAAACCAAAGGUCAGGUGCAGUGGUGCCUUUCAGCCCUGUAUCCAGGAAGUAGAAGCAGACAGGGUCUCUCAUCAGGGUCACCCCGGUUUAUAAAGCAAGUUCCAGGGUAGCCAGGGGCUACACAGUGUGACUGUCUUAAAAAAAAUAACGGAGAGCAACAACAGAGACAUUCAGCCCUAUGAACACACAGGGGAAGGUGUUUAAACAAAGGCAUGUGUGCAGCGCCUGCUCUCACACUCACAGGGUUUAUUGGUGUUUGGUGAGGGGGCAGUUUUAUUUCCCUAUCACCGACGCACAAGGUCCCCGCAGGAAUGAAAGAUCAGAACAAACUGGAGCCCACUAAGAAACCAAAGCGAUCCCAGGUUACCCCACACCCCAUUCCUCUGCUACAGUUAGUACACAUAAUGCUCUGAGACAGGGAACCCCCUGACAUUGACAAUAUUAAAUACGACUCCAGCAACUUCAGUUAACCACAAAAAGAGUCAUAGCAACAGUCCUAGAAGUCGACAUAAGUAAUCUGAGGUCCAAACAAAGAAAGGAAAAAAAAAAACUGGUAUGCCGCAAUCCCAACACUAGGACUGAGGGUUACAAGUUUGAGAUCAGCCUGAGUAACUUAGUGAGAUCCUGCAGCCAAAACAAAAACAAAACCCACAAAUGCCACUGUUGUGCCUCAUUUUAGAUGUGAGACUGGGGACACAUCUUGCCUCAGGUCUUGGGCUUCCAGUCAGCACAGUCUAUAUCCUCUGGGCACUUGCUUUGCCCCCAAAGAAGUCCAGGGCAUCACUUGAGGGUUGGGGCUCUGGCGAUGCCCAGUGUCUCCCAGGCUGUGGAGCAGCCACGGCCAGGGUGUGAAACUUGAGCAUCCCUGGAGAACAGGCUUUAUUCAGCAGGCAGUAAAGGCUUCAGUUCCCGCUCAGAUCCCCCAUCCUCGGGCCCUUCUGUAGAGAGGAGAGUUGGGGAGAUGGCUCAGUUGGCAACAUAAGCAAGAGGGCCUGAGAUCAACUUCUAGACCCUGCCUCAAAAGACAUGCCUAUAAUCCCAGCACUCCAUAGGUAGAGGCAGGAGGAUCACUGUGAGUUCAGGGCCAGUGUGGUCUGCAUAUCAAGUCCCAUGCCAGCCAAGGCCACAUAGAACCUAUCUUAACAACAAAAAAGACAGCUUACCGGGUGAGGUGACACACACCUGCAAUCCCAGAAUUCCACAGGGGAAGGCAGGAGGAACCGAAGGGAACAAGACCCAGAUUCAUUUCCUUCCCAUGUCAUUCAAGAACCCCAGUGCUGGGGCUGGAGAGAUGGCUCAGUGGUUAAGAGCACUGACUGCUCUUCCAAAUGUCCUGAGUUCAAAUCCCAGCAACCACAUGGUGGCUCACAACCAUCUGUAACAAGAUCUGAUGCCCUCUUCUGGAGUGUCUGAAGCUACAGUAUACUUACAUAUAAUAAAUAAAUAAAUCUUUAAAAAAAAAAAAACUCCAGUGCUGACUCUGGCUAGCUGGUCGCCAACCUCUUCCAGUGAGGAAGAAGAGAGAACCUUUGUCUUUAAAUUUCAAAGCCCUGUCACUUCUACCCCAAGUCACAACCCUUUCCCCAUGUCUGUUUAUCACCAGGGAACAUAUUGUGUUUUUGGUUUGGGGAAUAUUUUGAAACAGGGUCUCACUAUGGUAGCCCAGGCUGGCCUAGUAGUAAGUCUACCUGCCUCUGCCUCCCAAGUGUUGGGAUUAAACAUGUGUGCCACUAUGUCUGGUUUAUUAAAUUUUCUUAUCUGUUUUAUUAUUU
rnacentral:lncRNA from 1 species